CCAGGCAAGAGUACUGGAGUAGGGUGCCGUUGCCUUCUCCAAGCUCAUCACUAGUUGGGACUCAAGACACCCCUGAUCAUAGACAGACCUUGUUGAAGUGAAUUCAGGAUAUGCCAUCAUUGGGAAAGAGUGGUGUUGGCUUCACCUGUGGGCUCUGGAUCCAGGAUGUCUGAAUUUGAACCAUCUCUGCCUCUAACUGGCCUCACCAGCUUAGGCAGGUUACUAACUUCCUCUGCCUUAGCUUCUCCAGGAUAAAAGGGAAAUAGCCAGAGACUGUCCAUACAGGAUGGUUGUGAAGAUUCCAUGAGUCAACAUAACUAAAGCCCUUGGACAGGUAUCUGUCUGGCCCACAUGCAGGAUACCAUUUCCAAGCGCUGUAAGAAGUAACAGCUGAGAUCCUCCGGCCGAUUGUUCCCUUGGCACAGGAAAUUAUUCACCACCAGUUUGCCUUCUCUCCGAGCCAAAGACAUAUUGAGAGUGACCUAGAGCAUGGACUCGGGCUGCCAAUGGAUGAAGCAAUGAAGUGAAAAUCACCAUCUGUUAAGUGGAAAUGAGAGCCGCUGAGAGGAACCUGGAGGAAGCGGCUUGUCUCAAAGCAGAACCCCGAGACGGGUGCCCGCACAAACCGUGGCGAGGAAAAGUCCCGUAGGUACUCCAUCCCCACCAUGCACUCCAGCACAUGGCAAGGCUGGGGGAGCGUGCGCCGUGGGGCUAGAGUUCCCAGGAUGCUGGCUCAAGUCGAGAUGCUGUAACAGUAGGGAGGGACAUGUGACAGCCUCUCCAUCUUUCCCAUUCCCUGGCUGUCAUCGCCUCAAUUCCAGGGUUCAAGUCAUUUCAAAUCAUUGUCAAGGCCAUGUCAAGGUCCCCACCAUGGAGAGCAAGUGAAGGUGAUGCUCUCUGAGCUAAGUUGGAGCCCAAAGAGAUACACAGGCCUUGUGUAAACAUCACUGAACAAUUUUGACUUGAUUCAGUCAAAGGACCAGAGGGUACAACCUGGAACCAAAAGAUACAGUGAAAAUGCUUGAGUGCAGAGCAGAAGAGUUUAGGUGACUGAUGUGCAGACAUCUGAGGGACAUAAUAUUAGCUGUUACUAUUUGAUGACACAGGGAGGGAUAUGUAUUUUCAAAUACUUUUUAAGUAAUAUAUAAUUUUCUACCUUCAAAUGUAUGCAAAUAUGCAAAGAAAGCUAAUAGAGAGGCAGAGUAAACAGUCUCAGAGAACUGGCUUUAAUUAAAUUACCCAUUAAGUAUUUCUUAAUGGCUUCUUCUAAUGUGCCUGAACAUUUACUAUGAAGUACAUUAAAACAUUUUUUUCUCUCCUAAGAGCAAUAAAGAGGAUGAAAUACCUUGACAAGCUUAAAAUAGAUGGACACAAGUGAGUUGAAAACAAACAAAAUAAUGAAAACCAAAAGAGCCACCCCCCAGACUAAAAUCUGACAAAGUCUUUUUGACUUAUGUUUAUACAGCUCCAACAUAAAUCUUAGUGUGAUACUAUAAAACAAAGGGCUUCUAAAGUUUAUCUGGAAUAAAGUAAGCAUAGGAUAUUAGCCAAGAUAUUAAAAAAAAAAAUGCUGGGUAGAAACUGCCUCUCCAGGUAGCAACUGUAAUAAGUCUAAAAUAAUUUUAAUAGUAUUUAAAUGGUAAUUCACCAUUACCAGCCACUUGGUGCCAACAUGGUCACACAUUAAAAUGAAUGUCAGGUCCUACUAUUGCAUGAGAGUCUUGAGCAGAGGUCAGAAAAGUUUUCUGUAAAAGGCCAGAUAAUAAAUGUUUAGACUUUGUAGCCAUCCAGUCUCAGUUGCAACUAUUAAGCUCUGCUGUUGUAGCAUGAAAGCUGCCAUUAACAAUAUAAAAUGUGUUCCAAUAAAACUUUAUUUGCAAGAACAGACAGCAGGCUCAAUUUGGCCCACAGACUGUAGUUUGCCACCCUCUGGUAUCUGCUCAAAAUCUAGAAUUCAGAGCACACAUGGGCCAUUCUCAUGGAAUUCAGAACUUUUCUGACUUCUUAGGUAGAACUCUGGUAGAUUAAAAAAAAAAAAAAAAUCAGCCCCAAUUCUUUGCAGCUUCUCCCAACAAGAGUGUAGUCUAUUUUUCCAUCCUCUGACUUGCUUUGCUCUGAUGUCAUGUCAAGUUAAGCCGGGGCCCCAGGAGGAGAUGCACGCUUCUUCUGUCACUCUUGAACCUCAGUUUCCAUGGCAACGGGUCUAGUUUUUGUUGUUGUUGUUGGAGGACUUUUCAUGGAGAAGAAUCCUGGUGCCCCUGUUCAAUUUCUGCUCUGGGGGUUGAACAAAUUCACCAGUAAGUCCCGGUCAAGGUCAGCUAAGCCUGGAUAAAUGAGCAGACAACCUAGCCAAGCCCAGCCUAAGUACUGACCCACAGACUUACAACAUCCAUAAUUGAUGUUAUGCAAAACCACUACAUUUUGAGAUGAUCUAUAUGUAGUAAAAGCUGAUUAAAACCAUUCUGCCACCCAAUAUAUGAAGCAAACUUAUUUUGUAAUGUAGGCUUUCCAAAGGGAAGAACAGUCAGAAAAUCAACUGUGCUUUUGUUUGUACACUUGUUCUUAAUACCCAUUUGCUUAACUAGCUUCUCCUGCUUUGAUAUCUGAUUUGAUUGCAUGAAUAUAUUAAAGAGGAUUAGAUUCUUCAUCCCCAAUGCUGUGGGGAUACAGGCAUACUUUUGAAAUACUAAUCUACAGAAACCUGUUAUCAAGGCAUAAUCAUUUUUGUUUAUGACCAUAUUGGCACUGAGUGGCUAAUAAUAUUGCAUUAACUGUCUCAGACUAAUGAGAGAAGAAUAAAGCAGAUUAUCGGGUAAAUAAUGUGUUUAUGUCUGGAUCAGUAGAAGAAAAUGCUAGUGAGCUGCAUGAGACAAGAUUUUUCAAUAGUUUAGAGUGAGACACAUAGAGAAAAUUAAGUCUGUAUAUGGCAAAGAGCAGUAAAGCCAUGAAAAAUUCAACAAGACUUGUCCUGUAGCAACUGUGAUCAUCCAUGUUACAAUUAGCAUUUCAUUCCAGCAAAAUAACUUCACCUAUCAUAUUAGUGUUGUCAUUUUGAAUUUCAUUGUUUUCUGGUGGGUUUUGGCAUUUGUGUUAUAAAUUUUCUUUGCUUC